GAUCUACUUUUACACAAGAAAAUCAGAAAUUACAAUAGCAAAAUGCAAGAUCUCAGUAGGCAGUUGACGGGAAAAUGGUAGUUAUAUAUCAGGAAUCUAACAGUAUUUUUUAUCUCACCAACCCACCCAGUUUAGUAAGAUCUGAUGCCGCAAUCAGCACUGCCACCAGUCGAUAAUACAUUAACGUUGACGACAAUACAAUCUCAACGAUAAAAAUGUCGUCAAGUCAGUCUACCUUUCUGAAAACAGAAGACACACAGAAGGCAGAAAUAGUGUGGACUCUAAACAGUGUGAAAUAGUGUGGACUCUAAACAGUGUGACGUCAUAUUACUCGUACAAAAGACACACAGAAGGCAGAACUAGGGUGAACUCUAAACAGUGUGCAAUAGUCUGGACUCUAAACAAUGUGAAAUAGUGUGGACUCUAAACAGUGUGAAAUAGUGUGGACUUUAAACAGUGUGAAAUAGUGUGGACUCUAAACAGUGUGACGUCAUAUUACUCGUACAAAAGACACACAGAAGGCAGAACUAGGGUGAACUCUAAACAGUGUGCAAUAGUCUGGACUCUAAACAAUGUGAAAUAGUGUGGACUCUAAACAGUGUGAAAUAGUGUGGACUUUAAACAGUGUGAAAUAGUGUGGACUCUAAACAGUGUGACGUCAUAUUACUCGUACAAAAGUGUAGAAGGUAAUGCAGAAUUAUGUCCUGGCAGCACAAUAAACCCAAGUCUAUCAAUGUCGUGAAAGAAAAAGUUUGUAUUUGAUAAAUCAUGGUCUGGCUCCA